CCCUUAGAUGUCCUGGGCCGCACGCGCGCUACACUGAACGGAUCAGCGCGUUUUCCCUUCCCGAGAGGGACGGGUAACCUGCUGAACCCCGUUCGUGGUAGGGAUCGGGGCUUGCAAUUAUUCCCCGUGAACCAGGAAUGCCCAGUAAGUGCAAGUCAUAAGCUUGCGUUGAUUACGUCCCUGCCCUUUGUACACACCGCCCGUCGCUCCUACCGAUUGAAUGAUCCGGUGAGCUUUUUGGACUGUGGUCACGGCUUUGGUUCGCCAAACUGAGGCCGCGGGAAGAUGCGCAAACCUUAUCAUUUAGAGGAAGGAGAAGUCGUAACA
rnacentral:rRNA from 1 species